AGGUUACUGCUAUCGAGGUUCGACUAAGCCAUGCGAGUCGAAUGUAGCAAUACAUGGCGUACUGCUCAGUAACACGUGGACAACCUACCCUUGAGACAGGUAUAAACCCGGGAAACUGGGUAUAAUCCCUGAUAGAUCUCGGUCGCUGGAAUGCCCCGAGAUCCAAAGCUCCGGCGCUCAAGGAUGGGUCUGCGGCCUAUCAGGUAGUAGUGGGUGUAGCGUACCUACUAGCCUACGACGGGUACGGGUUGUGAGAGCAAGAGCCCGGAGAUGGAUUCUGAGACACGAAUCCAGGCCCUACGGGGUGCAGCAGGCGCGAAAACUUUACAAUGCCGGCAACGGCGAUAAGGGAACCUCGAGUGCCAGGUUACAAAUCUGGCUGUCGUGAUGCCUAAAAAGCAUUGCAUAGCAAGGGCCGGGCAAGACCGGUGCCAGCCGCCGCGGUAACACCGGCGGCUCGAGUGGUAACCGUUAUUAUUGGGUCUAAAGGGUCUGUAGCCGGCCGGAUAAGUCUCUUGGGAAAUCCAGCAGCUCAACUGUUGGGCUUUCAGGAGAUACUGUUCGGCUCGAGGCCGGGAGAGGUGAGAGGUACUUCAGGGGUAGGGGUGAAAUCUUGUAAUCCUUGAAGGACCACCAGUGGCGAAGGCGUCUCACCAGAACGGACCUGACGGCAAGGGACGAAAGCUAGGGGCACGAACCGGAUUAGAUACCCGGGUAGUCCUAGCCGUAAACGAUACUCGCUAGGUGUCGGCCACGGUGCGACCGUUGUCUGGUGCCGCAGGGAAGCCGUGAAGCGAGCCACCUGGGAAGUACGGCCGCAAGGCUGAAACUUAAAGGAAUCGGCGGGGGA
rnacentral:rRNA from 1 species